GAGUUUGAUCAUGGCUCAGAUUGAACGCUGGCGGCAUGCCUUACACAUGCAAGUCGAACGGCAGCACGGGAGCUUGCUCCUGGUGGCGAGUGGCGAACGGGUGAGUAAUGCAUCGGAACGUAUCCUGGAGUGGGGGAUAACGUAGCGAAAGUUACGCUAAUACCGCAUAUUCUGUGAGCAGGAAAGCGGGGGGACCUUCGGGCCUCGCGCUCUUGGAGCGGCCGAUGUCGGAUUAGCUAGUUGGUGAGGUAAAGGCUCACCAAGGCGACGAUCCGUAGCAGGUCUGAGAGGAUGAUCUGCCACACUGGAACUGAGACACGGUCCAGACUCCUACGGGAGGCAGCAGUGGGGAAUUUUGGACAAUGGGGGCAACCCUGAUCCAGCCAUGCCGCGUGAGUGAAGAAGGCCUCGG
rnacentral:rRNA from 1 species